UCAAGGCGAGGAUGCCAACAGGAACAGGGCUCAGGAUGAGCGGUCAGGGAGCGCCAGGAGGCGAAGACCAGGGAUUGUCAGGAUGACCAGCGUCUGGAGACGUUUUCAAAGGGAAAGGGAUGUAACAAGGAACGUUAUUAGCUAAGGGAAAGACAGGGUUUGUCGUUAGCUAACAGGGAAAGUGGAAACCCUUUAAGGGUUGUUCGUGAGGAAAAAGGCGACAGAGUAAUCUGUCGCCUUUUUUCUUUGCUUGCUU
rfam:Raoultella ornithinolytica strain S12, complete genome.